rnacentral:lncRNA from 1 species
GGCAAUGUCAGGGCUGACUCUUAAAAAAGAAAUACGAGGAAAUAAAAAGGGGCAAGUGCCCGGAACCUCGAAAGAAAAGAAAAAGUGAGACGGGAGGUAAAAAUGGACAAGUGUCCGACAGUAGAAUUAGGGGUACAAGAUACCCACCUGAGAGGAUAGAAAAAAGAAGAGCAUCUCAUUCUCCUCAUAAAGUUUCAAAAAAAAGCAAGGAAGGUAUAUAUCCCCUCAAAAGAGCAAAAGUAGAAUUAGACUUUCACCAUUGUUAUCACCACUACCACCAUACACCAUUCAUUCGCCACACAUGCACAUCUUGAUUUGACUUAUUGAUUUGUUUCUUUGGAUCCAUGGUUUGACUAUACAACACAUGUCUUGUAAGUAUGUAUACUUUAUCUCCCACCUAUGAGCUCUAGAUAUUAAAGCCUUAUU